rfam:Micromonospora sp. ATCC 39149 genomic scaffold supercont1.1, whole genome shotgun sequence.
ACCUCAUCCAGAGGGGCAGAGGGAUACGGCCCGACGAAGCCCCGGCAACCACCCGCACGUUCGAUGACGAGCGGCGCGGACAGGUGCCAAUUCCGUCCCCGCCGCAGGGUGCGAUGCGGGGAAAGAUGAGAG